GACCGUGUGGCCAAGUGGCUAUGGCGUUGGUUUUACACACCAAAGAUCGCAGGUUCGAACCCUGCCACGGUCA
rnacentral:tRNA from 1 species